rnacentral:tRNA from 1 species
GUGGUUCAGAGUCAGAAUUCUUGCCUUCCACGCAGGAGACCUGGAUUCAACUCCCAGC